rnacentral:rRNA from 1 species
UGGGGAAUAUUGGACAAUGGGGGCAACCCUGAUCCAGCAAUGCCGCGUGUGUGAAGAAGGUUUUCGGAUUGCAAAGCACUUUCGACGGGGACGAUGAUGACGGUACCCGUAGAAGAAGCCCCGGCUAACUUCGUGCCAGCAGCCGCGGUAAUACGAAGGGGGCUAGCGUUGCUCGGAAUGACUGGGCGUAAAGGGCGUGUAGGCGGUUUGUACAGUCAGAUGUGAAAUCCCCGGGCUUAACCUGGGAGCUGCAUUUGAUACGUGCAGACUAGAGUGUGAGAGAGGGUUGUGGAAUUCCCAGUGUAGAGGUGAAAUUCGUAGAUAUUGGGAAGAACACCGGUGGCGAAGGCGGCAACCUGGCUCAUAACUGACGCUGAGGCGCGAAAGCGUGGGGAGCAAACAGGAUUAGAUACCCUGGUAGUCCACGCUGUAAACGAUGUGUGCUAGAUGUUGGGUAACUUAGUUAUUCAGUGUCGCAGUUAACGCGUUAAGCACACCGCCUGGGGAGUACGGCCGCAAGGUUGAAACUCUAAAGUGAAUUGACGGGGUC